rnacentral:rRNA from 1 species
UCCAGACUCCUACGGGAGGCAGCAGUGGGGGAUAUUGCACAAUGGGGGAAACCCUGAUGCAGCGACGCCGCGUGAGUGAAGAAGUAUUUCGGUAUGUAAAGCUCUAUCAGCAGGGAAGAAAAAAGACGGUACCUGACUAAGAAGCCCCGGCUAACUACGUGCCAGCAGCCGCGGUAAUACGUAGGGGGCAAGCGUUAUCCGGAUUUACUGGGUGUAAAGGGAGCGUAGACGGCAAUACAAGUCGGAAGUGAAAUACCCGGGCUCAACCUGGGAACUGCUUUGGAAACUGUAUGGCUGGAGUGCUGGAGAGGUAAGCGGAAUUCCUAGUGUAGCGGUGAAAUGCGUAGAUAUUAGGAGGAACACCAGUGGCGAAGGCGGCUUACUGGACAGUAACUGACGUUGAGGCUCGAAAGCGUGGGGAGCAAACAGGAUUAGAUACCCCGGUA